rnacentral:miRNA from 1 species
CGCGGUAUAUUCUUGUGGCUUG